CACCGCCCGUCACACCAUGGAAGCCAGCUGUACCGGAAGUCGGUGCGCCAACCCGCAAGGGGAGGUAGCCGCCUAUGGUAUGACUGGUGACUGGGGUG
rnacentral:rRNA from 1 species